AUUGAAUGCUGGCGGCAGGCCUAACACAUGCAAGUCGAGCGGAUGAAGGGAGCUUGCUCCUGGAUUCAGCGGCGGACGGAUGAGUAAUGCCUAGGAAUCUGCCUGGUAGUGGGGGAUAACGUCCGGAAACGGGCGCUAAUACCGCAUACGUCCUGAGGGAGAAAGUGGGGGAUCUUCGGACCUCACGCUAUCAGAUGAGCCUAGGUCGGAUUAGCUAGUUGGUGGGGUAAAGGCCUACCAAGGCGACGAUCCGUAACUGGUCUGAGAGGAUGAUCAGUCACACUGGAACUGAGACACGGUCCAGACUCCUACGGGAGGCAGCAGUGGGGAAUAUUGGACAAUGGGCGAAAGCCUGAUCCAGCCAUGCCGCGUGUGUGAAGAAGGUCUUCGGAUUGUAAAGCACUUUAAGUUGGGAGGAAGGGCAGUAAGUUAAUACCUUGCUGUUUUGACGUUACCAACAGAAUAAGCACCGGCUAACUUCGUG
rnacentral:rRNA from 1 species